rnacentral:rRNA from 1 species
AGCUACAGGCUUAACACAUGCAAGUCGAGGGGCAUCAGGAAGAAAGCUUGCUUUCUUUGCUGGCGACCGGCGCACGGGUGAGUAACACGUAUCCAACCUGCCCUUUACUCGGGGAUAGCCUUUCGAAAGAAAGAUUAAUACCCGAUAGUAUAAUGAUUCCGCAUGGUUUCAUUAUUAAAGGAUUCCGGUAAAGGAUGGGGAUGCGUUCCAUUAGGUUGUUGGUGAGGUAACGGCUCACCAAGCCUUCGAUGGAUAGGGGUUCUGAGAGGAAGGUCCCCCACAUUGGAACUGAGACACGGUCCAAACUCCUACGGGAGGCAGCAGUGAGGAAUAUUGGUCAAUGGGCGCUAGCCUGAACCAGCCAAGUAGCGUGAAGGAUGAAGGCUCUAUGGGUCGUAAACUUCUUUUAUAUAAGAAUAAAGUGCAGUAUGUAUACUGUUUUGUAUGUAUUAUAUGAAUAAGGAUCGGCUAACUCCGUGCCAGCAGCCGCGGUAAUACGGAGGAUCCGAGCGUUAUCCGGAUUUAUUGGGUUUAAAGGGAGCGUAGGUGGACUGGUAAGUCAGUUGUGAAAGUUUGCGGCUCAACCGUAAAAUUGCAGUUGAUACUGUCAGUCUUGAGUACAGUAGAGGUGGGCGGAAUUCGUGGUGUAGCGGUGAAAUGCUUAGAUAUCACGAAGAACUCCGAUUGCGAAGGCAGCUCACUGGACUGCAACUGACACUGAUGCUCGAAAGUGUGGGUAUCAAACAGGAUUAGAUACCCUGGUAGUCCACACAGUAAACGAUGAAUACUCGCUGUUUGCGAUAUACAGUAAGCGGCCAAGCGAAAGCAUUAAGUAUUCCACCUGGGGAGUACGCCGGCAACGGUGAAACUCAAAGGAAUUGACGGGGGCCCGCACAAGCGGAGGAACAUGUGGUUUAAUUCGAUGAUACGCGAGGAACCUUACCCGGGCUUAAAUUGCAGUGGAAUGAUGUGGAAACAUGUCAGUGAGCAAUCACCGCUGUGAAGGUGCUGCAUGGUUGUCGUCAGCUCGUGCCGUGAGGUGUCGGCUUAAGUGCCAUAACGAGCGCAACCCUUAUCUUUAGUUACUAACAGGUUAUGCUGAGGACUCUAGAGAGACUGCCGUCGUAAGAUGUGAGGAAGGUGGGGAUGACGUCAAAUCAGCACGGCCCUUACGUCCGGGGCUACACACGUGUUACAAUGGGGGGUACAGAAGGCAGCUAGCGGGUGACCGUAUGCUAAUCCCAAAAGCCUCUCUCAGUUCGGAUCGAAGUCUGCAACCCGACUUCGUGAAGCUGGAUUCGCUAGUAAUCGCGCAUCAGCCACGGCGCGGUGAAUACGUUCCCGGGCCUUGUACACACCGCCCGUCAAGCCAUGGGAGCCGGGGGUACCUGAAGUACGUAACCGCAAGGAUCGUCCUAGGGUAAAACUGGUGACUGGGGCU